rnacentral:rRNA from 1 species
CCUACGGGUGGCAGCAGUCGAGAAUCAUUCACAAUGGGGGAAACCCUGAUGCUGCGACGCCGCGUGGGGGAAUGAAGGUUUUCGUAUUGUAAACCCCUGUCAUGUGGGAGCAAAUUAAAAAGAUAGUACCACAAGAGGAAGAGACGGCUAACCCUGUGCCAGCAGCCGCGGUAAUACAGAGGGCUCAAGCGUUGUUCGGAAUCACUGGGCGUAAAGGGUGCGUAGGCGGUGUGGUAAGUCGUGUGUGAAAGGCGCGGGCUCAACCCGCGGACGGCACCUGAUACUGCGAGACUAGAGUAAAGGAGAGGGAAGCGGAAUUCUUGGUGUAGCAGUGAAAUGCGUAGAUAUCGGGAGGAACACUCGUGGCGAAGGCGGGUUCCUGGACAUUAACUGACGCUGAGGCACGAAGGCCAGGGGAGCGAAAGGGAUUAGAUACCCGAGUAGUC